GAGGGGGGUUCCGUUUAACCCAGCGAGCCCGGCUGUGAAGCUAAAUCCUAAGUCGCCUUCCCAGCCCCUUCUCUUUCCCGUCCUCCUCGCUCCAUUUCUCCCACACACAUUUCUGGGAUCAUGUGUCUGGGGUGAGCAGAAACGUCACCGAGAGCUUGGCAGCCAGAGUGCUAUGCUCGACAUCUGAAGUAUUCAUUACUCAGUUUCUUUCCCUAAUGUUCAAAGUUCCCCUGUCAUCACCUCAAGGAACAGAAACCAGACAAAUAAUAGCUCCACCUCUGAAUAUCGGAAGCUUUCAGCCCUGGUUUUGUGAUGGGACGUGCAGAGUUAAACGGAGGCUGCAGUCAUGGUUCACUCUGAACUUGACUAACAGGGAAGCCGCUAAAAGCUACUCUUUACCAAACAACAGUGACACUUAAGAACCAGUUUGAGUCCACUUUGCUGCUGUGGAACCCAGGAAGCUGGCGUCGGGGAGGCCCGGGACCAAGCCUCCUGUGAAGGACCUGCACGACUGGAGUCUUACCUUGUGUUUGAGGCCAUAGUUGACUUCCAGCUCCAUGAGCAGCACACUCUUGCGCACGUUUAAAGUCUUCUGGAGUUCAUCAAAGGUAGAAUGGAUGUCAUCCACAAUACUGGCCUUUUGGUUGGUUAACUGAUGGAUGAUUUCCGAGAUGAACUGAAGAGCAGAAUCUAUUUCUGGGAGCCUGGAGGACAGUUGGCAGAGGUCGUUAUUCUAGUAACAUCCACAGGGAAAUAGUAAAAACAAAAACUAUCCAAACACUAUAUUUUGCCAAGCAACAUUUUCUAUACCUUUCAUCAUCUUGAAAAAGUAAUAACUGAAGAACAGAAUGAUAAGACAUGCCAUAAUUACUGACUUUGAGAAAAGAGAUUUUGAGGAUCCAUGUCUAUUUCAAUCUACCUCAGUCAUUUAUUUUUAAUAAUUGAUGGUACAAAACCUCGAAGCUCUCUGAACCCCUGGGCUUUUUCUCCCACUCUAAAUCAGGCACACUCUACAGUGGACAAGCACAAGGUCCUACUGUAUAGCCAGAGAGCUAUAUUCAGAAUCCUAUGACACAGCCAAAUGGAAAAGAUUAUUAUGCAUCGCAGGAUGUUUAACACCAUCCUUUCCUCUACUCCCCACCCCCCCACAGCUGUGACAUUGUCUCCAGACAUUGCCGAUGUCCCCUGGGGGACAUCAUGGUCCAUGGCUGAGGACCACUGUUCUAAAUAGACAGCUAUAUCUUUUUCCCCAAUCACAUGAAAAACUUACCCAAGCUCGGAGUUUCCUGUGAACUUCUUGCAAGUUUCCAAAUUCUUUUAAUUAGUACAGAAUAGCCACACUUUUCUCACUUCAACUAUUGGUAAAGAUUUAUUUUCAGCUGGUUGUUUAUUUCCUCCCUUUGAUCUUUCUCAUGCAUCACACAGCUACCCUCUUCCUUCAUCUCCUUGCCAAAUAAAGAGCCUGGAGGCAAGGAAGUAGAAGGAAAACUGAGCAGUCGCUGCUCGGGACCAUUUUGCUGGGCUCAAGCAGAGAGGAGCCAGUCACAGUUGGCAUAAUGGCCUGUAAGUGAGUCAAGAACAGUAGCUAAGAAAGGCUCUUCAGACAGCCUGGUUUCAGGCACAAACUUCAGAGAUCUGAGAGCGUUUUCCUCGAGUAUAUUUUCUUCAUUUGAUCAUACGAAGGUGCUGAAAGAAAAGCCUACUUAUAACAAGGGGAUUGCAAUUUUACCAAGGGGCAGGGCAUCACCCUUAUCGCUCACCAGUUUAUGACCACAGAGCUGUGAUCAAAGGAGAAUUUACUUGGGUGACAUGAACCUUCUGUCCCACUGGGACAUGAAAUCCGGAGGCCACAGGCGGCCAGCCGUGGCGCGGAGGGAGGCGUGCACACCUUUUGUUGACGGCGUCCAGCUGCACCUGGAGCGAAGCCUUGUGCUGCUCCACCACGUCCUUGAGGGGCACGGUGGGGUGCUCUGCGUGCUCCCCCUCCGUGCACUCCCGACACAUGGCGGUCUCGCAGGACUGGCAGUAGAAGUCCAUCACCUGCGGACGACACAAGAGCGGUUCCCAUUCUUGGCCACUGACCGAGCACUGACCAGGCGCUGGGUCUUCCCCAGCACGCUCUCAGUAAUGCCCACAGCCUCCCCAGGAUGUGGACAGUGUUACAUCCAGCGUCACAGGAGAAAAGGAAAGAUAAACUUUUGUGUGCCAGGUCUCAGACAGAGGUGGAUCGGACUCCAGGGCAGCUGCUAUAGUCGUUAACCCAGCUGUACUUGGCCACUGCGGUAAGGCAGAACAGCGCAGUGUUGAGGUUCUCAGAUAUUUGGGUCUCAGGACUCCUUUGCACUCUUUAUAAAUGACUGAGCACUUGAAGUGCUUUUCGUUUAUGUGAGUUAUAUCUACAGCUACUUAUAUUAAAAAUGGAAACUGAGAAA